UACGGAGGGUGCAAGCGUUAUCCGGAAUCAUUGGGUUUAAAGGGUCCGCAGGCGGACUUAUAAGUCAGUGGUGAAAUCCCAUCGCUUAACGAUGGAACUGCCAUUGAUACUGUAAGUCUUGAAUUCGGUCGAAGUGGGCGGAAUGUGUCAUGUAGCGGUGAAAUGCAUAGAUAUGACACAGAACACCGAUAGCGAAGGCAGCUCACUAGGCCUGGAUUGACGCUCAGGGACGAAAGCGUGGGGAGCGAACAGG
rnacentral:rRNA from 1 species